UGGCUGUAGCUAUACGAACGGCUUAGGGGUUAACUGGCCGGUUGUCGUGAAUCUCUGUCGACCAAUCUGCUUACCGAACCUCUAACAUUC